rnacentral:misc_RNA from 1 species
GAUGAAGAACGUAGCGAAAUGCGAUAAGUAAUGUGAAUUGCAGAAUUCAGUGAAUCAUCGAAUCUUUGAACGCACAUUGCGCCCGCCGGUAUUCUGGCGGGCAUGCCUGUUCGAGCGUCAUUUCAACCAUCAAGCCCUGCUUGCGUUGGGGUCCUGCGGCUGCCCGCAGGCCCUGAAAACCAGUGGCGGGCUCGCUAGUCACACCGAGCGCAGUAAUACAUCUCGCUUUGGGCGUGCGGCGGGUUCUUGCCGUUAAACACCCCCUUUUUACCAAGGUUGACCUCGGAUCAGGUAGGAAUACCCGCUGAACUUAAGCAUAUCAUAAGCGGAGGA